CCUUCCCGCUGCUUACAAAGCCGCAGUUGUCAGCCUGAGCAUUGCUUCUGGGGCGGAAAAUGGGCGUGGUGUUUCUUGUGCGGGCGUGGUAUGCCCCAUGUGUGCGUGAUAAGCUGUAUGUGGGCGCGGAUUUAUACUGUUUUUCAAUCACAACUUGUUUAUCCCAAAGGCCGAGAAGCGAUGAAGAAACGGUGGUUGUUAUAGAUUUCCUGCUUUUUUUUUUUAUUACUUGAAGCCCGAGACCCUCAUCAUGGAACAUCUUAAAGGGGGACCUCGCCUCCCCAUGCUGGAAGUCAGGAUUACCCAGAAACCGUAGAAACAAGGAUUUAUGUCUCCCUAAGUUUCCGGAUCGUCUCAAGGAGUGCCAAAGGCUAUACACCGACCACAGAAGGGGAUUAUCCUGUAAAUCUCGAUCGCAGUCUGCCUCCAUACAGUGGAGGAAGUUUGUCAAGUUUUUAGAUUUUAUGAAUUGUUCCUCAAGAUGUGUGUUUGCAUAAGUGUCUGUGUCGUUUAACCAGUCCCUUAAGAACCUCAACAAAGAUGCAUGGUUAUAAAGCAAAAUGUUAGGGAAGUUAAUUCCGCCAUUAGAUUUUGGUUGUUGUAAUUUAUGCAUGGCAAUACGAGCUCUCUUGCCUUUCCAGAUAAACUGUCGGAAUAGUUUGGUUAUGUGGGACAGAUCUGAUCUACUAAGCAAUAUCGGGAGGGAUUGGGGAGGGAUUGUAAAGUGUAUAGUAACCUUGGAAAUGUACACAUUUUUAUUAAGGCUGCUCUCCCUAAAUAUGAAAGCUUUAAAUGAUUCCAUCCUUCAAGAUCCUUCGUAAUGUGAGUUAUUGUCGUCUUAACAUUCAGCCUAUAUAGUUCCGAGGGAUAUUUCGGAAGGUUAAUGCCUAGAUAUGUUAUGUAAGUGUUAGCCCAGUUUAUAGGUAUCUGUUUCCCCCAUCCCGGGCACCUUACCCCAUGUUUCAAAUUUAGCCCUAUGGAUUUUGAAAGGUUAACUUGGAAACCCGAAAUUUGUCCAAAGUUAUCCAAUAGAUCUAAGAUAUCCCGUAAGGAAUCCCUAGGGUUCCCAAUAUAAACCAGCACAUCAUCCGCGAAUGCUGACAGUUUUAUUUCUUUAUCCCCAAUUGGAAUACCUUGAUAGGUCAUUGAGUUCUGAAGUACCCGGAAGAGGGGGUCUAUGGAUAAGUUAAAUAGAAGGGGUGACAGGGGACAUCCCUGUCUUGUACCUCUUUGCAUCGAGAUCCGUGGACCCCGUUUGCCAUUGACCAAUAAAGAGGUUGUCGGAGCGGUAUAAAGAUAUUUAAUAACAUUUAUAAAAGUCUCUGUAAACCCUCUGUAAUGUAACACAGUAAAUAGAUGCUGCCAUGA